rnacentral:rRNA from 1 species
CCUACGGGGGGCAGCAGUGAGGAAUAUUGGUCAAUGGGCUUACGCCUGAACCAGCCAAGUCGCGUGAGGGAAGACUGCCCUAUGGGUUGUAAACCUCUUUUGUCAGGGAGCAACGCCGGCUACGUGUAGCCGGACUGAGAGUACCUGAAGAAAAAGCAUCGGCUAACUCCGUGCCAGCAGCGGCGGUAAUACGGAGGAUGCGAGCGUUAUCCGGAUUGAUUGGGUUUAAAGGGUGCGUAGGCGGAAUGCCAAGUCAGCGGUAAAAUCGCGGGGCUCAACCUCGCUCCGCCGUUGAAACUGGCGUUCUUGAGUGGGCGAGAAGUAUGCGGAAUGCGUGGUGUAGCGGUGAAAUGCAUAGAUAUCACGCAGAACUCCGAUUGCGAAGGCAGCAUACCGGCGCCCAACUGACGCUGAAGCACGAAAGCGUGGGUAUCGAACAGGAUUAGAUACCCCUGUAGUC